rnacentral:rRNA from 1 species
UACGUAGGGUCCGAGCGUUGUCCGGAAUUACUGGGCGUAAAGAGCUCGUAGGUGGUUUGUCGCGUUGUUCGUGAAAACUCACAGCUCAACUGUGGGCGUGCGGGCGAUACGGGCAGACUUGAGUACUGCAGGGGAGACUGGAAUUCCUGGUGUAGCGGUGAAAUGCGCAGAUAUCAGGAGGAACACCGGUGGCGAAGGCGGUUCUCUGGGAAUGACCUGACGCUGAGGAGCGAAAGUGUGGGGAGCGAACAGG